rnacentral:piRNA from 1 species
UGCCAGCCUGUUCUCUCUAAACAUCA